UGGGGGAUAUUGCACAAUGGGCGAAAGCCUGAUGCAGCGACGCCGCGUGGGGGAUGAAGGCUUUCGGGUUGUAAACCUCUUUCGCUAUCGAACAAGGCCCGCUUAGGGUGGGUUGAGGGUAGGUGGAGAAGAAGCGCCGGCUAACUACGUGCCAGCAGCCGCGGUAAUACGUAGGGCGCGAGCGUUGUCCGGAAUUAUUGGGCGUAAAGGGCUUGUAGGCGGCUUGUUGCGCCUGCUGUGAAAACGCGGGGCUUAACUUCGCGCGUGCAGUGGGUUGGGGCAGGCUUGAGUGUGGUAGGGGUGACUGGAAUUCCAGGUGUAGCGGUGGAAUGCGCAGAUAUCUGGAGGAACACCGAUGGCGAAGGCAGGUCACUGGGCCAUUACUGACGCUGAGGAGCGAAAGCAUGGGUAGCGAACAGG
rnacentral:rRNA from 1 species